GACGAACGCUGGCGGCGUGCUUAACACAUGCAGGUCGAACGAAGAGCGACGGCAGCUUGCUUCUAUCAAUCUUAGUGGCGGACGGGUGAGUAAUGCGUAAUCAACCUGCCCUUCAGAGGGGGACAACAGUUGGAAACGACUGCUAAUACCGCUUACGAUCCAAUCCCGGCAUCGAGGAUGGAAGAAAGGCGGCCUCUACAUGUAAGCCAUCACUGAAGGGGGGGAUUGCGUCUGAUUAGCUCGCUGGAGGGGUAACGGCCGACCAAGGCGAGGAUCAGUAGCCGGGCCGGAGGGAAGGACGGCCACCUUGGGACUGAGACCCGGCCCAGGCUUCUACGGGGAGGAGCAAUGGGGGAACAUCCGAAAUGGGGGGAAAUCUGGCGGAGGAAAGCCGGCGGGGAUGAGGCGGCCUUCGGGUUGGAAAAGUAUGUUAAUCGGGGCGAAAGGCAUUAUUGCGAAUAGUGAGAAGGAUUGACGUUACCGGAAUAAGAAGCAACGGCUAACUACGUG
rnacentral:rRNA from 1 species